UUCAAGUUUCUGGUAAUGAAAGUAUAUGCAUCACAGGUAGAGAAACCAAAACAUAUUUAAUAAUAAUAUCUUCAAAGAUGAUCAUCAGGAAGGAACAAAGUAGUUUGGAAUAGUGGUAUCAACGACAACUGGGUAAAAAGAGUGGCAUCAAUCAAUACCUUAAACAAAUAAAUAAAUCCGGUGUUAGUAGAGAAGUCCCUUGCUUCUUUCAGAUUUACAACCUGUUACAUGAUCGAUCAGGUUCAGAAACACUUAUCCUUCAAGAAAAGGAUUUUAUUACAAUAUGCUCGCAGAG
rnacentral:lncRNA from 1 species